UUUUCCAUUCUUUCUCUCCCCCUUCUCUCUCACCAAAAACCCUAGUUCAUUCUCUGUCCUCUCUCGCCGUUAGCGCGACUGCCGGAACCUCCACUACCACCGCAUCGUGACAACACUUAUUCAGAUGAAGAAGACGAAGUGUUUUACUCGCCGAGAGGCUCCUCUCUCCGCGUUCAAGAGAGCUUAGGCGGCACAGGAUCGGGUUCUCGGCGAGCAUUCUCCGCCAUAGCCGCUGAAAGAAGAGGCGAAUCAAGCUCAAUUUCGUGUUCUUCCUCUUCUUUUGGUUCUCCGGCGCAGUCUCAUUUUCUAAUUAGUAAUUCCAUCUCUUUACGGUUGUUACCUCUAUGCGUUUGCUCAUUGUAUUAAUCAUGUUGUGGUUUAUAUAGCCUUUCCUUUACUUCGUGGGAACUCCUCAUUCUGUUGCUUCGGUCGAGUCACACUCAUCUACCAUCUUAGAUGUUAUAUUUCAACCAGGGACUAAUAUAUUUGCAACAGCUUCAGCUGAUACAACAGUAAAGCUAUGGGAUGCAAACAAAGCGAGUCUCUUUCAUGUCAUAUUCCCAUCUAAUCACCCUUUUGCAUUAGUCCUUUCUUUGUAAUGACAUGGGAUUCAACUUAUUUGACUAAGCUGGUUGCUUGUUAGACAUUUAUGGUUCUAGGUAUAUGUUUGGACUUGAAUGGAGUAAUUGAAAAAAGAAAAUUUCCACCAACAAUUUCUACAAUUGAGUAUCGGGUUGAAUCUUGCAGCAUGGAUCAUAAGGAGGGUAAUGGAUGUGUUGAUGUGAAGAAGGCAAGUGUUCCACUACAAAAUGGUGGCUAUGUCAUAUAUGGUGUUGCUCAUCAGCUUUGAGGUGGAAUUGGAUCCACCCUAUAUGGACAGGAUAGAAGGGUUAUAUGUUCUUCAAUACCAAGUUAUGGAUAUGGAAAGGAAGCAGGAAAUGAAUCAGGGUACAUUGUUGGAAUGUCCACAUGUUAUCCUAAACCAGGUUCUGUUAAUGGUGAAACUUUAACUCUUGAGUCUAACUACAACAGCACCAAAGAGCACACUGGAGUUAUGUGAUUUUUCUACAUAUUAGUAGCAGAACAGCUUCCAUACCAACCUUUCAGACAUUCUAUUCGUUCUUCAUUUUUUAUGGAUUCAAAUAAUAUGUUUAUAUAUAUAUAUAUAUAUAUAUAUAUAUAUAUAUAUAUAUAUAUAUAUAUAUAUUAUGGUACAAAGUGGAGUGUCAUGGUUUGAGUUUCUGAUAUCUUAGAUGUGUUAGAAUUCUUAUUACAACUUAUAAAUUUGCUUUUCGAUUAUGUUAACAUUCUGUUAUAAUCGUUUUCUUUUGUUUUUUCGACAAUAGGAAUUUCAAUACCUAGAGAAUCAAAUGAGUAUUGCUGGAGAAAGUGUUAAGAAAUCAUAUUCAACUGCCAUGGAAGAUUUGCUUCCUCCGUCUACAACCUCGGCUCUUGUAAAUCAAACAUAGGUAGCAAUGUAAAUCAAUUGAAUGAGGAAAUGCCUACAUCUGAGACACCUAUUGAACCUACUUUUGCAAAGAGAGCUUCUGCUGCUGAAGUAACUGACUUUGCUUCUGUAUCAGAUUUUUGCAAUAGAAUUGAAAAUGCAAGUACUGAACAAAACCGCGGUGUUGUUGAGGUUUUGAUUGCUUCUUAUCUUUUUCUCUUCAUUCACUCCCUGCCUUUUGUAUGAAAUUUUGUUAUUUUCAUGUAAGUGUGACUUCCUCCAUCACACUCUUUCAUGUUUUCUAUUCUCCUUAGAUUCUUAAUAGGAUUUUUAGAAACUUUUGUUUUUCCUAAGGUGCCACUGAUGAGAAUUAAAGGUCCAGUUGCAGUGAGUACUUGCUACCAUUAAAUACUCUCUUAUUAUUUUUAAGUUUGUUAUAAUCAUAUGAUAAGUAAAAUUGAUAGAAUUGAAGAUAGGAGUCAAAGAGGAUGUUGAGGGUGGUAAGCACAGAGAAGUAACAGAACCAUUGUUAGGGGAAAACAACAACCAACUUGUCAAUGAAACCAAAGAUCGUCAUCUGCAGAUGGUUUAUUUCACCACAUUCAUUGUUGUUUGUGGUUCUUUUGAAUUUGGUACUCUUUUGGUUACUGAAAUUUUAAACUCUUUUGGUUACUGAAAUUUUUAUGCAGAUUUGAAGCUCAUUCAAGAUGAGUAGUUGCAGGAUUGCUUGAGUCAAAUAUGAGUGCCUGCUUUUUGGGCCUGAAUCCUUUGAUGUUUCUCUUUGCUUUAAUUGGGAAUGCCACUUAUGUUGCAAGCAUACUUGUGAGCAGCUUGGAUUGGUGUAUGUUCAACUAGAAAUAAAGCUGUCUGACAUGAUGUAUGUUCAUAGAAAUCUUUCAAUCUCUCUACCAACUUGGCCUUAAUUGUAAGAUCAUUAGCCUGGUGGCCAGAAAAACAAGAGGACGUGGUUAUGUUCAUUUGAAUCCGCAAUUUUGUUUGAGGUUGAUGCUACCAUUUUGCAUUCUUUUUCAACAUGCUAGCUGUCACCCUGAGAAUUUCCACAUGAUAUUGUUGAUGCUAUUUAUAAAGACAUUAGUUAUUAUUCUUCAGUUUUUAA